rnacentral:rRNA from 1 species
GGGAGGCAGCAGUGAGGAAUAUUGGUCAAUGGACGGAAGUCUGAACCAGCCAUGCCGCGUGGAGGAUGAAGGUCCUCUGGAUUGUAAACUUCUUUUAUAGGGGGCGAAAAAAGGGAAUUCUUUCUCGUCUGACGGUACCCUAUGAAUAAGCACCGGCUAACUCCGUGCCAGCAGCCGCGGUAAUACGGAGGGUGCAAGCGUUAUCCGGAUUCACUGGGUUUAAAGGGAGCGUAGGCGGGCUGUUAAGUCCGUGGUGAAAGCCCUCAGCUCAACUGAGGAACUGCCAUGGAUACUAUCAGUCUUGAAUGUCGUUGAGGUUUGCGGAAUGGGUCAUGUAGCGGUGAAAUGCUUAGAUAUGACCCGGAACACCAAUUGCGAAGGCAGCAGGCUAAACGAAUAUUGACGCUGAGGCUCGAAAGCGUGGGGAUCAAACAGGAUUAGAUACCCCGGU